rnacentral:rRNA from 1 species
GGAUCCAGACUUUGAUUAUGGCUCAGGAUGAACGCUAGCUACAGGCUUAACACAUGCAAGUCGAGGGGCAGCGGGAUUGAAGCUUGCUUCAAUUGCCGGCGACCGGCGCACGGGUGAGUAACGCGUAUCCAACCUUCCGUACACUCAGGGAUAGCCUUUCGAAAGAAAGAUUAAUACCUGAUGGUAUGAUGAGAUUGCAUGAUAGCAUCAUUAAAGAUUUAUCGGUGUACGAUGGGGAUGCGUUCCAUUAGGUAGUAGGCGGGGUAACGGCCCACCUAGCCAACGAUGGAUAGGGGUUCUGAGAGGAAGGUCCCCCACAUUGGAACUGAGACACGGUCCAAACUCCUACGGGAGGCAGCAGUGAGGAAUAUUGGUCAAUGGACGAGAGUCUGAACCAGCCAAGUAGCGUGAAGGAUGAAGGUCCUACGGAUUGUAAACUUCUUUUAUAAGGGAAUAAACCCUCCCACGUGUGGGAGCUUGUAUGUACCUUAUGAAUAAGCAUCGGCUAACUCCGUGCCAGCAGCCGCGGUAAUACGGAGGAUGCGAGCGUUAUCCGGAUUUAUUGGGUUUAAAGGGAGCGCAGACGGGUCGUUAAGUCAGCUGUGAAAGUUUGGGGCUCAACCUUAAAAUUGCAGUUGAUACUGGCGUCCUUGAGUGCGGUUGAGGUGUGCGGAAUUCGUGGUGUAGCGGUGAAAUGCUUAGAUAUCACGAAGAACUCCGAUUGCGAAGGCAGCACACUAAUCCGUAACUGACGUUCAUGCUCGAAAGUGUGGGUGUCAAACAGGAUUAGAUACCCUGGUAGUCCACACGGUAAACGAUGGAUACUCGCUGUUGGCGAUAUACUGUCAGCGGCUUAGCGAAAGCGUUAAGUAUCCCACCUGGGGAGUACGCCGGCAACGGUGCAACUCAAAUGAAUUGACGG